AGCCCAGCCCUCACCCUGCAGCUCUGGCACAGGAGCUCCAGCCCCAGCACUCCCAGGUGUCCACUCAGUGAUCGCACUCAACACAGACGCUCACCAUGGAGACUGGGCUGCGCUGGCUUCUCCUGGUCGCUGUGCUCAAAGGUGUCCAGUGUCAGCAGCAGCUGGUGGAGUCCGGGGGAGGCCUGGUCAAGCCUGGGGCAUCCCUGACACUCACCUGCAAAGCCUCUGGAUUCUCCUUCAGUAGCGGCUACGACAUGUGCUGGGUCCGCCAGGCUCCAGGGAAGGGGUUGGAGUGGAUCGCAUGCAUUUAUACUGGUGAUGGUAACACUUACUACGCGAGCUGGGCGAAAGGCCGAUUCACCAUCUCCAAAACCUCGAGCACGGUGGAUCUGAAAAUGACCAGUCUGACAGCGGCGGACACGGCCACCUAUUUCUGUGCCAAAGACACAGUGAGGGGCCCUCAGGCUGAGCCCAGACAAACCUCCCUGCAGGGGUGCACAGCUCCACCAGGGGGCGCACAUGACGCACUGAGCCCAGAUUCUGGUCAUGCACAGGCGCAGAGGGAGAUGAAGCCCUGGUUUCCUGUCAGGGAACUGGGGUUUCUUCUCCUGCAACAGUUUUGA